rnacentral:rRNA from 1 species
CAGUAACUGCGAGUGAAGCGGGACCGGCUCAAUGUGUGAAUCUGGCUUGGGGUAGAUCCCUGGUCCGAGUUGUGCACUAUGGACGUUUCGUCUGCGUUUGUAAUGGCGGUGGAAGUCCGUUGAAACACGGCACCUCAGAGGGUCACAGUCCUGUACCACCUGCCUGCACUCGCGCCAAUGACAAGCGCUCCUCGAGUCGCGUAGUUUUGUAAUGCUGCGCCAAGUGGGAGGUAGAGACCUUCUAAGGCUAAAUAUGAUGACGUGACCGAUAGCACACAAGUACCGCGAGGGAAAGGUGAAAAGCAACCAUGAAAAAUGGGUUGAAACAGUAGUGAAAGCGCUACCGGGAUAAGGGCUAUCGGGUGCUGGGGCUUCUUGGGUGUGCUUCAGUGCUACCCUUGGAGACGGCCCGCGUGGGUUGAUGUUGGGGCGAUAGACGCCCCGUUGGAAUUCAGCUGUCUUCGGGCAGUGUUGUAGCCUUCGGUUGCCGAUCCUCCUGCGACCUUUUGUAAUUGCGGGUCUUGCGACCGUUAGCCGCCCGUCUUGAAACACGGACCAAGGAGUGCACCUUGCAUGCGAGUCGAAGGGAUUUGAAACCUGGAGGCGUAGCGAACGCGACGAUGGGGAAUGUCCUUGUGGCAGACACCCGCACCCGCCUUGUGCGAGGUAGAGCAUGUACGGUGCGACCCGAAAGAUGGUGAACUAUGCCCGGGUAAGGUGAAGCCAGUGGAAACGCUGGUGGAGGCCUGUAGCGAUUCUGACGUGCAAAUCGAUCGCGUAACCUGGGUAUAGGGGCGAAAGACCUAUCGAACCGUCUAAU